GUGUCAGCAGCCGCGGUAAUACGAACCGUACAAACGUUAUUCGGAAUCACUGGGCUUAAAGGGUGCGUAGGCGGCCAUGUAAGUGAGGUGUGAAAUCCCUCGGCUCAACCGAGGAACUGCGCUUCAUACUGCAUGGCUUGAGGGAGACAGGGGUAAGCGGAACUGAUGGUGGAGCGGUGAAAUGCGUUGAUAUCAUCAGGAACACCGGUGGCGAAAGCGGCUUACUGGGUCUCUUCUGACGCUGAGGUACGAAAGCUAGGGUAGCGAACGGGAUUAGAAACCCUAGUAGUCC
rnacentral:rRNA from 1 species